rnacentral:pre_miRNA from 14 species
UACUCCCUAAUGACGGGAACCGUGCUGGUUUCGAACUCGGUAAUAGACCAGAAGAAAGCUAUCACCGGGUGGAAACUGGUACGGGUCCCCGAGUCGUGC